GUCACGCUAUUAAGUAUUUUGAUUUAAGUUCUUUUCUUUCUAAGAGGUGAAAUAGAUAAAAAUCCUUUAUUUGAUUGGCCCAUGAGAUUCCAUUGAUACAGAGCCAAGUCCAAUAGACUUAUUGAAGGGUCCCAUUUGCGUGAGACGAAAGCUAGGGGAGUGAAUGGGAUUAGAUACCCCAGUAGUCCUAGCCGUAAACACUCAAAGGGUUGAAGGGAGAUAGUGCAUCAAACUGUUCGCAAGGGCCACUACUGUAUGAAU
rnacentral:rRNA from 1 species